rnacentral:rRNA from 1 species
GAUGAACGCUAGCGGCAGGCUUAAUACAUGCAAGUCGAGGGGUAUAGAGUACUUGUAUUCUAGAGACCGGCGAACGGGUGCGUAACGCGUAUGCAACCUACCUUUAUCAAGGGGAUAGCCCAGAGAAAUUUGGAUUAAUACCGUAUAACAAUAGAAUUGGCAUCAAUUUUAUUUAAAAGAUUUAUUGGAUAGAGAUGGGCAUGCGUAGGAUUAGCUAGUUGGUGAGGUAACGGCUCACCAAGGCGACGAUCCUUAGGGGCUCUGAGAGGAGUAACCCCCACACUGGCACUGAGAUACGGGCCAGACUCCUACGGGAGGCAGCAGUAGGGAAUAUUGGUCAAUGGACGGAAGUCUGAACCAGCCAUGCCGCGUGCAGGAAGACUGCCCUCUGGGUUGUAAACUGCUUUUAUAUGGGAAGAAAAGGGUUCUGCGGAACACAUUGACGGUACCAUAGGAAUAAGCCACGGCUAACUACGUGCCAGCAGCCGCGGUAAUACGUAGGUGGCAAGCGUUAUCCGGAUUUAUUGGGUUUAAAGGGUGCGUAGGCGGCCUUAUAAGUCGGUGGUUAAAGGCAGCAGCUUAACUGUAUGCAUGCCAUCGAUACUGUAGGGCUUGAAUUAUCAGAAGGUAGGCGGAAUUUCUGGUGUAGCGGUGAAAUGCAUAGAUACCAGAAGGAACACCGAUUGCGAAGGCAGCUUACUGCAGAUACAUUGACGCUGAUGCACGAAAGCGUGGGGAGCGAACAGGAUUAGAUACCCUGGUAGUCCACGCCGUAAACGAUGAUUACUAGUUGUUGGCGAUAGAGAGUCAGUGACCAAGGGAAACCGAUAAGUAAUCCACCUGGAGAGUACGCCGGCAACGAUG